AAAACGACUCUCGGCAACGGAUAUCUCGGCUCUCGCAUCGAUGAAGAACGUAGCGAAAUGCGAUACUUGGUGUGAAUUGCAGAAUCCCGUGAACCAUCGAGUCUUUGAACGCAAGUUGCGCCCCAAGCCUUCUGGCCGAGGGCACGUCUGCCUG
rnacentral:rRNA from 1 species